GCAGUCGAGCGGCAAGUCGAGGAGUAAUCUAAGACCUAGAGCGGCGCACGGGUGCGUAACGCGUAUGCAACCUACCUUAUACUGAGGGAUAGCCCGGAGAAAUCUGGAUUAAUACCUCAUGGUACAUAUUGAAGGCAUCUGAGAUAUGUUAAAGAUUUAUUGGUAUAAGAUGGGCAUGCGUCUGAUUAGCUAGUUGGCGGUGUAACGGACCACCAAGGCGACGAUCAGUAGGGGUUCUGAGAGGAAGGUCCCCCACACUGGCACUGAGAUACGGGCCAGACUCCUACGGGAGGCAGCAGUAGGGAAUAUUGGGCAAUGGUCGGAAGACUGACCCAGCCAUGCCGCGUGCAGGAAGACGGCCCUCUGGGUUGUAAACUGCUUUUAUCUGGGAAGAAAAAGGCCAUGCGUGGCAAAUUGCCGGUACCAGAUGAAUAAGCACCGGCUAACUCCGUGCCAGCAGCCGCGGUAAUACGGAGGGUGCAAGCGUUGUCCGGAUUUAUUGGGUUUAAAGGGUGCGUAGGCGGCUAUUUAAGUCAGCGGUGAAAGACUUCAGCUUAACUGGAGCAGUGCCAUUGAUACUGGAUAGCUUGAGUGUUGGAGGGGUACAUGGGAUUGAUGGUGUAGCGGUGAAAUGCAUAGAUACC
rnacentral:rRNA from 1 species